rnacentral:lncRNA from 1 species
UUUGAGUGAAGAAAGACAAAAAUCAAGUGAUAUUAAUCAAUCAACAACAUUCUAAGCCUUAGGAUCACAAGUUCGGUUUCAUGCUUCCGAUAACCAAUGUUAAUAACAUAGAGCUAGAAGUUGAGAAUUUAAACUCGAUAAGAAACAUAAUUCAGAAUUUAACAUAAAAGUCUUAAGUUGGAGAAACAAAAGACAAAUAAGAGCUAGUGUAACAGCGGAAGACAAAAUACGGAGUUGAACUCUAGCCUCAGCUCUGCCCCGUCAGCACCGACCAAUCAACCUGAAAACAUUUGAAAGUAAUUUUGGGCUAAGUACUAAUGUACUUAGUGGGCUAGCAUUUUUAUAAACAUUUCAUAAUCAUAAGAGCAGUUUAUCCAAUUAUACUUUACAUGACUUAGAAGGUUUUAAAACAAAAAUAACUUCUAAGCAUGUUAAAACAUUUUAUUAUAUUGCGCGCAAUUGUCACACUCCCUUUCCGUUACUCGCUGUGAUCCCGGACCUUUUAGCCACCGACGGAUCCAUUACUCCUGCUUUACUUGGACUGAGGGCGUAACCCAGCCAAGCUCCCAUUUGGGACCCAAUGCUCCGGAACACAUCCCGUCGAGCACCCUUAUAACGCCUCAUACAUGAUUAGUGCCCGAUGGAGAUCAACCCACCGAGUCAGCUAAUAGGUGUACACAAUUCUCAAACAACGUGUUAGGUCAUAAGAGAACCUCGAUCGAUUAACUUAUGCGAGCCUUAAACAGAGCAGAGUGCACAAAAAUAUUUAUUGGAUAAACAGUUUUCAUUUCAUUGAAAUAUUUAAGCUCAAUAGCUAAAUCAUACAUUUGGAAAUAAGCCACCUGAUUAGGCAAUGCCUGUCGUUUAUUCUUAACUCUGAAUUGAUAUAGCAGCGCUAGUCC